CCUACGGGAGGCUGCAGUGGGGAAUAUUGCACAAUGGGCGCAAGCCUGAUGCAGCCAUGCCGCGUGUGUGAAGAAGGCCUUCGGGUUGUAAAGCACUUUCAGCGGGGAGGAAGGCGUUAAGGUUAAUAACCUUGGCGAUUGACGUUACCCGCAGAAGAAGCACCGGCUAACUCCGAGCCAGCAGCCGCGGUAAUACGGAGGGUGCAAGCGUUAAUCGGAAUUACUGGGCGUAAAGCGCACGCAGGCGGUCUGUCAAGUCGGAUGUGAAAUCCCCGGGCUCAACCUGGGAACUGCAUUCGAAACUGGCAGGCUAGAGUCUUGUAGAGGGGGGUAGAAUUCCAGGUGUAGCGGUGAAAUGCGUAGAGAUCUGGAGGAAUACCGGUGGCGAAGGCGGCCCCCUGGACAAAGACUGACGCUCAGGUGCGAAAGCGUGGGGAGCAAACAGGAUAGAUACCCUAGUAGUC
rnacentral:rRNA from 1 species